rfam:Schistosoma haematobium scaffold591_11, whole genome shotgun sequence.
ACUCAAUUGACGAGUCAUAAAUAGGACGAAACGCGCGUCCUGAAU